rnacentral:lncRNA from 1 species
CAACAAUACGCCACGAAAAAAGACGUUGUUGGCGCUUUCUCUUUCGUCCGCAUGGCGCGACGACUGUCUUGCUCUUUUGAUACCCUUGCGGGCCACCGAGACGUGGUGUCGAAAAAGAAAUGGCGAAUGAACAAGACCAAAAACCCAACAAAAAGCUGCCGCAGCCGAUCGGGACGCGCUGCCGCUCCCCCCGAGAGACCGGUGCCAAUAGGCUCGUCGCUCUCGGCACGCAGUCUCAAACUCGCGACGUGCCGGCCGUACACCCUAAAAUGUAAGGAGAAAAAAAGAAACACUGCAUAACCGCGAACGCCUUUCUUUUUUAUUGGGAUCGUGUGCUGCCUGCGGACCCGGUCAUGACUUUGCGGUUGCCCGCCCCUUUUUUCCUCUUGUGCCCCGACGCCGUCGCCGCGACCCUGAUUCUUGUUCUUGGUCGCGCAGCGCCUCGGCCUCUUUUUGCUUCCUGAGCGCUCUGGCCUCGUCGAGCGGUGCGUACCGGGUCUUGAGUCCGCUGCUCAACACCGCGUGGUGUUCCCAGCCGUCGCUGUCGCACGCCAUGCGCAGGGAGGGCGCCACGCCGCAAAAUGCGUCUUUCGGAUCGAGGGCGACGCCGAAAGCGUCCUCGGUGCGGAGCCUAUUUUCCUGGGUCAUGCCGCUGUAGACGAUCCAGUUUGGAGCGGCGUGCUGAACGGACGCGCGGUUCGACCGUGCCACGAGGAUGUCUGUAUAGAGACGCUUGGAACUCGCCAGUUUGAUCUCGGCGCACGGCAGGACGAGAUUGUACUGUGUGACGAGCCCCGCUUCGGCGGGCGCUUCGAGGUAGGCCCCCGCCGCACGUCGCGCCUUGAGCACGCCCGCGCCGAUGGUACGUGUCGACGCGGUCGAUGCCUCGCUCAGGUGCGGCCUGUCCAUCUGCCACUGAAUGCCGUCCAACGCCUCGACGACACCCUUGUACUUUUCCCGGUGUUCCCGCCGCUCUGCGCUACCGUCAGCCGCCUCUGCCAUUAUGAGUCUGGUCACGCUUGUCGCUGGUUGUGUGUGUGGAGAUCUUUCUUACUUAAAAAAAAAGAAAAGAAUAGGGUGUGCGCCUCGUGAUCG